CCUAGCCCACCUCCUACCGCCGGAGUCAUUCGUCGCGGUUGAGCGAGCAACGGCGUCAACCAGAGCGAGGGAGCGCGCGGCGCCGUGACUGGCCGCCGAUGGAUCCACCCGUGCCCCGCCCCUGCCUCCUGCAACUAGCCCCAACCGACUCCUCACGUCCAUCCCGCGCGCCGGCCAUCGACUUCCUCCCUCGUGCCGGCCGCCAACUCCCUCCCGCGCGCCACCACCGCCCCCCGCGCUGGUCGCCGCCUCCCUCCCCACGCCGCCUCCCUCCCCCACGUCGUCGGACGCCGCGUCCCUCCCCAAUGCCGCCCUCCGCCUCCUUCCUCCCCAACGCCGCCCUCCGCUGCCUGCCUUCCCCGCGCAGCCCUCCACCGCCUCCCACCCCAACGCCACCCUCCGCCGCCUGCCUCCCCCGCUCCGCCCUCCGCCGCCUCCCUCCCGAUGUCUUGCCACCGCGUAUCUUUCCUGCGAUGCGGAUUGCUCCCUCCACAGCAACAACUACGUUGGCGUGCACAGGAGUGUUUUUGUUCCUAGACCAGUUGCUCAACGACAGAAUUGUGUAUCGCACAGUACAUGUAUUACUACUGUGAAGGUUAAGAAAUCGGAACUUCAAAGAAGUAUUGACAGCAUAACUACUGUAUAUUCACGGAGUCGGGUUUUGCUCCUGCAUCAUCUCGUCUCCUCCGUUCAGCAAAAGCCACCAGAUAAGUUCACACAUAUGGUUUUGUGCUUUCUAUAAUUCUUGAGUCCAGACUCCUUCGUUUUUUGUUCCUGAGAAAUUAAAUAAACCUGUAGAAGUUUGGGGUAUAAAAUUCUGUAAGUUUGAAAUCGGGAAACUGGUAAGUGCAGACAAAAUUAAAACUGCCAAGGAACAUGAGAGUGUUUGUCAAAGAAGUGAGGCUUCCUCACGCCAGUACAAACUGUUUAAAUGUUUGAAUUUUGUUACAGCAAAAACUGAAUGGGUGGCAAGAUGAAUAUAAUUAUUAUUAAAAGUUUCUUUUUGAACUUCUCUUGUUAAUAUACAAGAACUUGAUUAUCUUUUUGACCAGUUAAAUAUACAUGGUUGGCAAGAUGACUAUAGUUGUUAUAGCAAAAACAGUACAUUUUUCAAGAAAAGUUUCUGUUUGAACUUCUCCGAUUAAUAUAGAUGAACUCGAUUAUCUUUUUAAUAUGCACUCACAUGAGCUCGUUUGGAUUUGUGUAUAUAUUUGUAACACAAUCACUUGAGCUCUCGAGAGACCGUAAGUUCAGUCGGCCUUGGCAUCACGAGCGGGCUCAGUUCGAUCUCGCACAGUGUGCAGGUCCCCGAUGGUGUGUGCGUCAGGUCUACUCGCACGAGUGGACGUCAGAUCACGCAAGUGGGCAGGUCCCCAAUGUAUAUCUACUUGUACCUAAGCAGGGGAAAGCUAGAAGAGAGGGAGUAGACAUGGCGUCGGAGAUGGUGCUCAGGAGGAUCCAUUCCAUCUGCUGUCUCGCCGGCGACCGCCAAGCGCAGUUGUUCGGCAGCGAGGAGGGGAUCCAUUGUCUCAUUUCUCCUGUCAGCCAUCCAUCAUUCUGCAGCAAUGCAUAUGAGCAAGCCGGUGCGGGCAGCCCAAGCAAGUUCAUCUUGCAGGUGAAGGAGCUCCCCUUCAGUUUAUCUUGCAGGUGUGUUUGGGCAGUACAAAAACAUCGCCAUAGUUUGUACAUAUUAUCUCUGGAUACAAAGAGAGAAAGAAAUCUCCAGCCAACUUGCCUUGAAACAAAUCAAGCCCUAUUUUUGGUUGUCAUCGAGCAACAAGAAAACAGCCCCCAGGUCGUUCAUAGCCCCCACCGAGGCCGUUCAACGAGGGGGCAUUCAACAACGCAGCGGUCAGAAGCUUUUUCUCGUUUUCUCCCGCCUCUGUAAUUUUUUUGAUUUUAGGGACUGAGUGAGUGCAGUUCACCGAGGCAUUCCAUGUGGUGAUGGGAUCUGAGGGAAGAAGACAAAACUAAAUGAUUCAGUUCAUCAUUGGCAUCCUUGUGAACAGUUCUGAACAUAGCUUUCAGAGACUAAUUACGGUGGUUCAACAUGUCGACCGGUAGCAGCGGUUGCUCCAAAUGGUUUUGCCGCACAAGGAGGAUACAGGGAUGCUACAUUGCUGGAGGAGCAGUAGCAUGUAGUAGCUAGCUGAAGAAAAGGAGGGUUAAAGAUUGUCGUGGAGCAACUUCAAGAGAUUAGUUUGGUGAAAAUAAUGUGAUCUUUUGGUCAGGAUUUUGCAUCCAUAGCCAUCAGACGAGCAGUUCAAGGCCUACUACGUGAGUCGUCCAUCGUCUUCUACGCAUGAGCUUGUUGUCUCUACACAUCUAGCAUCGGAGUAUCUCCUCCCCUUGCCGCACACACAUGCCCGCGGUCAAGCUAGUGCUGUUUGUGAUUGCUGGUCAUGACUCUUACAUUGUCAUUGGACAAAUAUUUUGUUUUGUAACUCUAUACUGAUGGGACCUUCAAUAUAUAUGGUGUUUAGAAUUUGUUAUGUAACUUUGUACUGUCGACCUUCAACAUAUAUGGUGUUGUUAGUAUUCUGAUCUGUAGGCCAAAAUCAUGAACAUCUAAACAUUAGUUCGAUUUAAUAAAACUGAGAGGUUCUACUUUC